rnacentral:tRNA from 1 species
UAGCCUAGUGGUUAAGGCUGUGGAUCACCAAUCCGGAGACGGCGGGUUCGAUUCCCGU